rnacentral:rRNA from 1 species
GAUGAACGCUGGCGGCGUGCUUAACACAUGCAAGUCGAACGGAAAGGCCUCAGCUUGCUGGGGUACUCGAGUGGCGAACGGGUGAGUAACACGUGGGUGAUCUGCCCUGCACUUUGGGAUAAGCCCGGGAAACUGGGUCUAAUACCGAAUAUGACCACUUCUUGGAUGUUGUGGUGGAAAGCUUUUGCGGUGUGGGGUGAGCCUGCGGCCUAUCAGCUUGUUGGUGGGGUAAUGGCCUACUAAGGCGGCGACGGGUAUCCGGCCUGAGAGGGUGUACGGACACAUUGGGACUGAGAUACGGCCCAGACUCCUACGGGAGGCAGCAGUGGGGAAUAUUGGACAAUGGGCGCAAGCCUGAUCCAGCAAUGCCGCGUGUGUGAAGAAGGCCUGCGGGUUGUAAAGCUCUUUCAGUGGGGAAGAAGCGAAAGUGACGGUACCUGCAGAAGAAGCGCCGGCUAACUACGUGCCAGCAGCCGCAGUAA